AAAUAAUUUUAUUUAUGUUAAAAAAUUUAAUAAAAUAAAAUUUUACAUAUAAAAAUUUUUGAAAAAUUUUAUUUUUUUUAAAAUAAAAAAUAAAUAAAAAUUUAUAUAUUUUUUUAAUAGUAGUAAUUAAUAUUAUUAAUUUAAUAAAUGUUAAAUUGUAGUUAUUAUUUUAUAAUAAUGAUUAAAUUUGUGCCAGCAGUCGCGGUUACACAAAUAUUAUAAUUAAAUUUUUUUAAUAAAAGUUAAGAAAAAAAAAAUAAAAAAAAAGAAUAAUAAAUUUUUAAGUGAAAUUUAAAUUUUAUUUAAAAUUUUUAUUUAAAGAUUUUUGAAGCUUAAAAAAUUUAAUUUUUAAACUAGGAUUAGAUACCCUAUUAUUUAAAUUGUUAAUAAAAAAUAUUUAGGUAGUAAUAAUUAAUUUUUUAAAACUUAAAAAAUUUGGCGGUAUUUUAUUCUGUUUAGAGGAACUUGUUCUGUAAUUGAUAAUCCACGAAUAUUUUACUUUUUUUUGUUUUCAGUUUAUAUAUCGUUGUCAUAAGAAUAUUUUAAUAGAAUAAAAAAUUUUCAAAAUUUUAAAUUAAAAAAUAUGUCAAAUCAAGGUGUAGUUUAUGAAAAAGUAGAAAUGAGUUACAAUAAAAUUUAUUUAAAUGAAUAAUUUUUUGAAAUAAAAAAUUUGAAGGUGGAUUUAAAAGUAAAUUAAUUUAUAAAGAUUAAUUGAUUAUAGUUUUAAAAUAUGCACAUAUCGCCCGUCGCUCUCGUUAUAAAAUUUUUAAAUGAGAUAAGUCGUAACAUAGUAGAUAUACUGGAAAGUGUAUCUAGAAAUAC
rnacentral:ncRNA from 1 species